UACGGAGGGGGCUAGCGUUGUUCGGAAUCACUGGGCGUAAAGGGAGCGUAGGCGGCGUGGUAAGUCAGAUGUGAAAUCCCGGGGCUCAACCCCGGAACUGCAUCCGAUACUGCCGUGCUAGAGGAUUGGAGAGGUAGCUGGAAUUCUUGGUGUAGCAGUGAAAUGCGUGGAUAUCAAGAGGAACACUCGUGGCGAAAGCGAGCUACUGGACAACUCCUGACGCUGAGGCUCGAAGGCCAGGGUAGCGAAAGGG
rnacentral:rRNA from 1 species